AUUAUGUGAAACCCCUUGGCGGGCGGGCGGGCGGGUGGCGGGCGGCAGGCGGAAGGCAUCACUUUGUCCGGACUCUAAUUCAAAUUGUAUUCAUCCGAUCUUCACCAAACUUGGUCAGCAGUUGCAUCUAGUUGAUAUCUAGGCCAAGUUCGAAUAUGGGUCAUGCCGGGUCAAAAACUAGGUCAUAGGGUCAAUAAGUGCAUUUUCAAAGGGGCCACUUUGUCCGGACUCUAUUUCAAAUUGUAUUCAUCCGAUCUUCACCAAACUUGGUCAGCAGUUGCAUCUAGUUGAUAUAUAGGCCAAGUUCGAAUAUGGGUCAUGCCGGGUCAAAAACUAGGUCAUAGGGUCAAUUAGUGCAUUUUCAACGGCGCCACUUUGUCCGGACUCUAAUUCAAAUUGUAUUCAUCCGAUCUUCACCAAACUUGGUCAGUAGUUGCAUCUAGUUGAUAUCUAGGUCAAGUUCGAAUAUGGGUCAUGUCGGGUCAAGAACUAGGUCAUAGGGUCAAUUAGUGCAUUUUCAACGGCGCCACUUUGUCCGGACUCUAAUUCAAAUUGUAUUCAUCCGAAACUUUUAAACAACUUUUUAUCCUGCGUCAAAGUGGUAUGGGGGUAUAAGUCACAUUCAGUGACAAAGCUCUAGUUCAAGUUGAAUUCACCAAACUUGGUCAGAGGUAGUAUAUAGAUUAUAUAUCAGUCAGGUCUGAUUGGAGACAUGCAACCGAUUAACACAUGCAAUAUUUUUAUGCAAUAUUUUUAUCCAGUUUUAUUUUGCGAUAUUUUCAUCGGGUUUAUUUUUUUCGCGAUUUUUGAAACGAGUUAUUUUUAACAACAUGUUUAUUGGUAAGUUUCAUU